GAGGGUGUAGCUCAAGUGGUAGAAUGCCUGCUUAGCAUGCACUAGGUCCUGGGUUCAAUCCCCAGUACCUCCA
rnacentral:tRNA from 1 species